rnacentral:lncRNA from 1 species
CACCCUCCUAAGAGUACCCAUCCUCUGGCUGUGUUCUUUCUCCUUGAACGCCAAUCAGAGUGAAAGUUUACCUACAGCCCACGUGGGGUGGGAAUUCCGUCGGCAAACACAAGAAACCUUGGCUCUAUCCACAAGACAGGUGGCAGGUGAAGGACCGGGAGUUGGGCUAGGAUACUAUGAAAUGUUAUGUUAUGAAGUUUGAAUCGUGCAGCACAUAAGCAUUCCAGAUUUGUCGCCUGCACUUAUGAGUGUGUCAUAAGGAGUUGUCCACGUCUCUUCAUGAUUGAAACAGAGACUCGGGAAGAAUGCAAUUCACUGGCAGCUUUCUUCCAGACUCACGUUUAGUUAGCUUUCUCAUACAGGGUCGAUCCAUCUGCCUAGGAUUUGCACUGCCCACAGUUGACCGUGCCAUCCUACAUCAAUUAGCAAUAAAGAAAAUGCCUCACAGACACACUGCUCGGCUAGUCCAAUGGAACAAUUCUUCAGUUGGCAUUUCUUCUUCCCAGUAGGCUCUAGGUUUGUGUCAAGUUGACAUAUGAAGCUAACUAUGAUGGAGAACUUCCCAACUUGUUGUUUAGCCACCUAGAGAAAAAGAAUUUUAUCUUGCAUUGAGCCUUUUGACUUCUUAUCGCAUUGAAUAUUACAGGUAUAAUUCCUUGUUAGUUCUGUGGACUGCAGACCAUUUCCCCUGAACUUUGGAGGUUUUUUUUUUUUUACACAGUAUAUGAGGCACUUCAGUUAAGAGUGGUAAUUAUUCAUUUUAAUCUUAAAAUUCUCUUUUACUUAAAAGACAAAUGUCUUCAAAGAACACAUAUUUGAGCCAUUUUGUAUGAGAUAUGUCAGAAAGGCACCUGCCAAAACUUAUAUCUACUAAGUCCAUCUAUUGAAUUGAGAAUUUUCUUUUUCUUUCUCUGACAAAUCCUGAGUGUCAUCUUGUAAUUAUGUGUGAUUCCCUUUGGCCCCAACAAAGGCAGAGACGCUGGCUCCAUUAGUGAGCGAUCACUGAGGCACAGUGUGUAAAGACAUCAAAGUCAUUGUGUAACAAACACGCCGAAGCUUCUCCAACUGAGUACAGCUUGUUCCUUGCAGGGCUCUAGAGACUGGCAGGAGGUUUUGGAAGUGGUUGAUUGAUGCCUCGGCCCAUUUGUGAACUCUUCUUCAGAUGGCCUGCAGGUUCCAUUUAAGUCUCUCACGAGAGAGUCAACUUU